CCUACGGGUGGCUGCAGUGGGGAAUUUUGCGCAAUGCUCGUGAGAGUGACGCAGCGACGCCGCGUGAAUGACGAAGGCCUUCGGGUCGUAAAGUUCUUUCGACAGGGGAGAAAAUGCCUGUAAGUAACUGUGUAUGUAUUGACGGUACCUGUAUAAACAGCCCCGGCUAACUCCGUGCCAGCAGCCGCGGUAAUACGGAGGGGGCGAGCGUUGUUCGGAGGGACUGGGAGUAAAGAGCACGUAGGCGGUGUUGUAAGUCAUUAGUCAAAGUUUAGAGCUCAACUUUAGUAAGGCUAGUGAUACUAUCAUACUAGAGUAGCAGAGAGGAUGGCAGAAUUCGUGGUGUAGCGGUGAAAUGCGUAGAUAUCAGGAGGAAUACCGUUAGCGAAGGCGGCAAUCUGGCUGGAAACUGACGUUGAGGUGCGAAAGCGUGGGUAGCAAACAGGAUUAGAUACCCCUGUAGUC
rnacentral:rRNA from 1 species